rnacentral:rRNA from 1 species
AGGUUAAUGAGGCGAACCGGGGGAACUGAAACAUCUAAGUACCCCGAGGAAAAGAAAUCAACCGAGAUUCCCCCAGUAGCGGCGAGCGAACGGGGAGCAGCCCAGAGCCUGAAUCAGUGUGUGUGUUAGUGGAAGCGUCUGGAAAGGCGCGCGAUACAGGGUGACAGCCCCGUACACAAAAAUGCACAUACUGUGAGCUCGAUGAGUAGGGCGGGACACGUGGUAUCCUGUCUGAAUAUGGGGGGACCAUCCUCCAAGGCUAAAUACUCCUGACUGACCGAUAGUGAACCAGUACCGUGAGGGAAAGGCGAAAAGAACCCCGGCGAGGGGAGUGAAAAAGAACCUGAAACCGUGUACGUACAAGCAGUGGGAGCCUCUUUAUGGGGUGACUGCGUACCUUUUGUAUAAUGGGUCAGCGACUUAUAUUCUGUAGCAAGGUUAACCGAAUAGGGGAGCCGAAGGGAAACCGAGUCUUAACUGGGCGUUAAGUUGCAGGGUAUAGACCCGAAACCCGGUGAUCUAGCCAUGGGCAGGUUGAAGGUUGGGUAACACUAACUGGAGGACCGAACCGACUAAUGUUGAAAAAUUAGCGGAUGACUUGUGGCUGGGGGUGAAAGGCCAAUCAAACCGGGAGAUAGCUGGUUCUCCCCGAAAGCUAUUUAGGUAGCGCCUCGUGAAUUCAUCUCCGGGGGUAGAGCACUGUUUCGGCAAGGGGGUCAUCCCGACUUACCAACCCGAUGCAAACUGCGAAUACCGGAGAAUGUUAUCACGGGAGACACACGGCGGGUGCUAACGUCCGUCGUGAAGAGGGAAACAACCCAGACCGCCAGCUAAGGUCCCAAAGUCAUGGUUAAG